GUGGGGAAUUUUGGACAAUGGGCGAAAGCCUGAUCCAGCAAUGCCGCGUGUGUGAAGAAGGCCUUCGGGUUGUAAAGCACUUUUGGCAGGGAAGAAACAGUGCGUGCUAAUACCAUGCGCGAAUGACGGUACCUGCAGAAUAAGCACCGCCUAACUACGUGCCAGCAGCCGCGGUAAUACGUAGGGUGCAAGCGUUAAUCGGAAUUACUGGGCGUAAAGCGUGCGCAGGCGGCUUUGUAAGACGGAUGUGAAAGCCCCGGGCUCAACCUGGGAAGUGCAUUCGUGACUGCAAGGCUAGAGUGUGUCAGAGGGAGGUGGAAUUCCGCGUGUAGCAGUGAAAUGCGUAGAGAUGCGGAGGAACACCGAUGGCGAAGGCAGCCUCCUGGGAUAACACUGACGCUCAGGCACGAAAGCGUGGGGAGCAAACAGGAUUAGAAACCCUUGUAGUCC
rnacentral:rRNA from 1 species